AAUAUUAUUCAUAUCUAAUUUUGGAGAGACAUAUUUGAAAUUAUGAUCGUGCAUUAAACAAAUUAAAUUAAAUAUUAAUUCUAGGUAUAUUUUAUAGGGAUAUGGGAGCAUCUAUUGUUGGCUUAAUUAAAGGGGCCAGCAACCUGCCUUGUAGUGGGAGGUUAAGUUGAGUCGAGUCACAUUCAAAUGGCGGGAGGUCGGGUUAGGUUGAGUCAUGUUUUAAGUGGCGUGAGGCUGGUUGGAUCGAGUUUCGAUCAUCGAAAUCUAAGUGAAUUAGUUGUAUAUUUCUAACAGCUCGGGGUUUUAAAAUUAAUGAUUAGGUAAAUGAGGGAUAAGAAACCAUAUACUAAGCCUAAUCCAUGUAGCAAUAAAGUAAAGUAUCUUGUUAUCUUUGCUUUUCCUUCCUGACCAAUCUCUACAAGCUUCUUUUCAUGUUCUCUUUCUCUUGUUGGCUUUUAUAUAUUCUAUUCUAUGUGCCUUUCUAUAGUACAAUCUUUGGAACAAGGCAUCCUC
rnacentral:lncRNA from 1 species